rnacentral:misc_RNA from 1 species
GUUUUUCCAUAUGAAAAUUGUAUUUUUCAUCUGUAAAAUUUUACACACGAAAGAAGCACAUCACAUGCUUUCGGUAUCCCUAUUUGAUUUUCUACUCUCUAUACACUAGAAAAAGAAACCAAAAUUGACAAUUCCUUCUUUUUCCUUUUCCCUGAUUAUGAACGGAACCGCAAAGGAGGAACCCAAGAUGAAUAGCUUAGAGACCGAGGGGCAUUAAAGCAAGUGCAGCCCAAUUCAUUUCUUCCAAAAUCAGGCAACAGCUUGAAGGCAAUUUCGAUUCUCAUCUCUGUCACUAAGUCUUUCUUUGGUGUAUGAAAGAAGACGUUGAAGGAAAAGGAAAAGAGGAAAAUUUCCAAUCAAUCGCGUAUAGCGUGGUCAUCCCAGCAGAGAAGCAUGGAGAUGCAACGUCCAAAGAUGUAGAAGCGGGUCUUCUGCUGUUUUACCAUUAGAAAGCACUUCCUUCGAAGACUGUUUUUCCUGUGAGCUUUUCUCUUGCCCGCGGCGGCGUGCGGCGGUGGAAGGUGGUAGGAAAUUGCCAUGGUGGGUUGGCGGACAAUGGAAGGAAAACUGUAAACUAAAGCAGUUGGAGGUUGGAGCUGAGUAAGGAAUUGAUAAGAGCUGGAGGGACAGCUGGUUUUAUAGGACCAUUUCUCGAAGUUGAGCCUCUG